CCUACGGGUGGCAGCAGUGGGGAAUAUUGCACAAUGGGGGAAACCCUGAUGCAGCGACGCCGCGUGAGUGAAGAAGUAUUUCGGUAUGUAAAGCUCUAUCAGCAGGGAAGAAAAUGACAGUACCUGACCAAGAAGCCCCGGCUAACUACGUGCCAGCAGCCGCGGUAAUACGUAGGGGGCAAGCGUUAUCCGGAUUUACUGGGUGGAAAGGGAGCGUAGACGGUUAUGUAAGUCUGGAGUGAAAGCCCGGGGCCCAACCCCGGGACUGCCUUGGAAACUGUGUAACUGGAGUACAGGAGGGGCAAGGGGAAUUCCCUGUGUAGCGGUGAAAGGCGGAGAUAUCAGGAGGAACACCAGCGGCGAAGGCGGCCCGCUGGACUGAAACUGACGUUGAGGCUCGAAAGCGUGGGGAGCAAACAGGAUUAGAUACCCUUGUAGUC
rnacentral:rRNA from 1 species